UACGUAGGGAGCAAGCGUUGUUCGGAUUUACUGGGCGUAAAGGGCGCGUAGGCGGCCUGUCAAGUCAACUGUGAAAUCUCCGGGCUUAACUCGGAACGGUCAGUUGAUACUGUCAGGCUAGAGUGCAGAAGGGGCAAUCGGAAUUCUUGGUGUAGCAGUGAAAUGCGUAGAGAUGUGGAGGAACACCGAUGGCGAAGGCAGCCCCCUGGGUUAACACUGACGCUCAGGCACGAAAGCGUGGGGAGCAAACAGG
rnacentral:rRNA from 1 species